UACGGGGGGGGCAAGCGUUGUUCGGAAUUACUGGGCGUAAAGGGUUCGUAGGUGGCCGACUAAGUCAAACGUGAAAUCCCUCAGCUUAACUGGGGAACUGCGUCUGAUACUGGUCGGCUUGAGUGCAGGAGAGGAACGCGGAAUUCCAGGUGUAGCGGUGAAAUGCGUAGAUAUCUGGAGGAACACCGGUGGCGAAGGCGGCGUUCUGGACUGCAACUGACACUGAGGAACGAAAGCCAGGGGAGCAAACGGG
rnacentral:rRNA from 1 species